rnacentral:rRNA from 1 species
UAGGGAAUCUUCCACAAUGGACGCAAGUCUGAUGGAGCAACGCCGCGUGAGUGAAGAAGGGUUUCGGCUCGUAAAGCUCUGUUGUUAGAGAAGAACACGAGUGAGAGUAACUGUUCAUUCGAUGACGGUAUCUAACCAGCAAGUCACGGCUAACUACGUGCCAGCAGCCGCGGUAAUACGUAGGUGGCAAGCGUUGUCCGGAUUUAUUGGGCGUAAAGGGAACGCAGGCGGUCUUUUAAGUCUGAUGUGAAAGCCUUCGGCUUAACCGGAGUAGUGCAUUGGAAACUGGAAGACUUGAGUGCAGAAGAGGAGAGUGGAACUCCAUGUGUAGCGGUGAAAUGCGUAGAUAUAUGGAAGAACACCAGUGGCGAAAGCGGCUCUCUGGUCUGUAACUGACGCUGAGGUUCGAAAGCGUGGGUAGCAAACAGGAUUAGAUACCCUGGUAGUCCACGCCGUAAACGAUGAAUGCUAGGUGUUGGAGGGUUUCCACCCUUCAGUGCCGCAGCUAACGCAAUAAGCAUUCCGCCUGGGGAGUACGACCGCAAGGUUG